ensembl:lncRNA
AACAACCGGAUAGCGAUUGACAGAUCAUGUGACUUUCGUGCAUUGCAUGCCGGGAACUCAAGGCAAAACAAUCCAAGUACCGCAUCAGCAGCACCGCAAAACGUUCAUUCUCCGGUUCCAAUACCUUCUUGGUUUUUCUUUGCCGCACAAAAAAGGAAUGUACAAAACUAAGGAGAACAAUGCCGGUCCGUACAAAGACAGACUCGACGAAAAGUCAAAGAAAAGAUACGAGGAAAAAAUCAAAGGAGUGAAAGGGUCAGACCCUUACAGCACACAGAGUGGACAAAAGACGUCAGUGUGCUGCCCAACUUUCACCACGCUCAGAUUUAUAAUUAUACGGUUCUUGGAGUGAGUGCAUACACUCAUGAAGUUUUUAGUAACUUCAGGUCACUGCAACAAGCCCAGGUACAGUUUACCGACGGAUGGGUACAGGACCUUGAAAUGCACCGUGUAGAACGAAAGACCAUCGUACAAACAAAGAAACAGCUCAUAACUUCCCUUCAACUAGUGACGCAGCUGCCCCUCUGUUGGUCUUCCUUGGUCUCUUGUGUUCUGGGGGCCUCUGGACGUCUGGAGUUUUGAUCUCCUCCAUGCCUGCUUCAUGCCCUGGAGGACGGGGCAGUGGCCCCCCACACCCUCUAGCAGAUCAUUACAUGAAGGAACCUUUAAAAAAAAAACAAAAAAAAACAAGCACGUUCAUGCUCACAGGUGCACACACAGGUGAUCACACACAAACUACACCCUUUUUGGCUCUUACCUCAAAGCACACUGUGCGCUGUCGAUCUUACGUGCUGCACAAUAAUGUCUAACAUUUAGUAUUUACUGUCAUAUUCCCAUAGAUCAUUGUGAUGUUGUUUAUUACUCUCGUUUUCUUCUGCUUGCUUUCUCUUUCUUUCUCAACAGGUGAUCCAGGUGAUCGAUAUAUGUAUUUUUUUUGUCUGCUUAUUCUGUUGGUUUUUGGUUUUUUGCCCUUUUUCCCCGUCCCUCUUCUCCGCUGUUUUUCUUUCCCUCUUUCUUUCUCCCCUUUCUUUCCCCCAGUUAAGUCUGUCCCGUAUUCAGCAAGUGAAAAUAAAAUAAACAAUAAAAGGUGAAUCAAAUGGACCAUUACGGCAAGGCUGGGAUGGUCCAUUUGGUAAAGUAAAUCCGUUGGGCAUCUUUCUUCGCCUUUAGACAAUAAUUCUGAUGGCAAAAGAACCAAACGGGACAGGUAAUAAAAAAAAAAGAAAAAAAAGAAAAGGAUCCUGGUGUUAUUUGUCUCUCAGAAACAGUUCAUAACUUCCCUUCAACUCAUUCAUGUCACCUAACAGGUAAACCUGUUUCUCCAUCACCUGUUCAGCUCUGAUGAUUCAGUAAGGACAUCUCCUGGUUUCAUCUGCAUGUUUCCCUCUCAUCACAUAUCCAAACCGAUAUCAUGACCAGCAGCUUUCACAGCUG